UAGGUGCGCACGCCCGUGUCCGCGGGAGAAAUCCUGGGGCCGCUUCCCGGGGCGCCCCGUCCCGAGGGCGCCGGAGCCGCAUGCGGGGAUGGGGGUCUGGAUCCCCUCGGGGCACAGAGCCCGUACCCCGGGGCGGGCAGAGCUGGGAGCUCAGCUCCCCGCCCGUGGCCCUCCGCCAGUAGCCCCUCUCCCCAAGACCUGAGCUCUUAAUGAGGGAUGGCGGUGGUUUCUUUAACUCUGAGACCCAACAGAGCAGAACUUUCCCAAGGCAGGAUCCUCCGGACGGUGCACUUAGACGGCGGCAAGAGAGCCUGCACACCCCCCGGGGACAGAGUUUGCCUCCUGAACUACACUUCUCUUACUGAAGAACAGUAGCUCCGACCUCCAAACCAACUGGGACUGGCGCUUUAAAGUAGCUGCGAACAGUGCUCCCGUGUCUCAACAUGGUCACGUAGGAGAUUUGAGCCUUUUAAUUUCCAGACACAAGCAAUAACUCCCUCGGAGCUCCGGCUUGGUUUAGGUUGCCGGUUGUUGGGUGUUUUGAGCAUCCCCUCUUCUGGCUGUUCCCAAAUCCUCCUCUGCCUUUCGCCACCUGCGAGGCAGAAAGGCCUUUACACUCCCAGCCGUCCUGGGCGCCGGCACUUUACUUGGCAGUGCGACUGAAGCGAAAUUCACGGCCGGGACUCCGGCUAAGGCAUUAGAGCAAACCCACCCGCAGCCGGGUACCCGCUGGGAUGCGCAGAGCGGGGUCGGCCAGUGCUUUGGGAACUGGUGGGACUGGCCACCCCCCACGCGGGGACAGCUUGGGGUGGCCGUGCCCCUGUGGGACAGGGAGAGGAGUUCGGCCAGGCUAAAAAUACCAUUUCUCCCUCAUUGUGCUGGUUCACGUGUGGGUCCUGCUCCUUCUGCAAAACCGAUUCCCCUUAUCGCAGCUCUAGAAACUAGUAGUGAUCAAGAUCUUGUGUAGCAGGACGGGGAAGUAGGCAAGCGUUUCCAUCUACUUACCUGGGCAUGGGAGGGAAGGUCGUGAAAGGCGCCGAUUGUGUGUGGAUUUUGGGGUUAAAAAGAGGUAACCUGAGGAAGGGGAGGGAGGAAAU